rnacentral:rRNA from 1 species
GUUGAAGGAUUUGGAAAAUUCCGCUAAAGAGGGUGAAAGCCCCGUAGACGAAAUGCUAACAACACCUAGGAGGAUCCUGAGUACGGCGGAACACGAGAAAUUCCGUCGGAAUCCGCGGGGACCAUCCCGCAAGGCUAAAUACUCCCUAGUGACCGAUAGUGAACCAGUACCGUGAGGGAAAGGUGAAAAGCACCCCGGAAGGGGAGUGAAAUAGAUCCUGAAACCGUGUGCCUACAACAAGUCAAAGCUCGUUAAUGAGUGAUGGCGUGCCUUUUGUAGAAUGAACCGGCGAGUUACGAUUGCAUGCGAGGUUAAGUCGAAGAGACGGAGCCGCAGCGAAAGCGAGUCUGAAUAGGGCGAAUGAGUAUGUAGUCGUAGACCCGAAACCAUGUGAUCUACCCAUGUCCAGGUUGAAGGUGCGGUAAAACGCACUGGAGGACCGAACCCACGUACGUUGAAAAGUGCGGGGAUGAGGUGUGGGUAGCGGAGAAAUUCCAAACGAACUUGGAGAUAGCUGGUUCUCUCCGAAAUAGCUUUAGGGCUAGCCUCGGAAUUGAGAAUGAUGGAGGUAGAGCA